CUGCAGAGCAUGCUCCAACUCAGACAGCCAGCCCCGAUCAGAAGGAGGAGGAGUGCAGCCCUACCCUGAAAGGCACCUGCCAAAGGGGCCAGAGAAGACUCCCUGAAGGAACAGAACUUUUCACCAGGACUCUCCCAGAAUUGGACUCUAUCUCCCAGAGGCUACUGAAGCCAAACCAGGAGAUUUCUAAGGAAGCCUGCCUUAGCCUCGCUGUGCUGCCGACAGGGAGCCACCCGAGCCUGCACUUGAUAGUAACAGAAGAAGGACAAAGGAAGCUGUGUCCACUCAAAAGGAUUGCAGGAUAGAAAAUACAGGUGGGAGUCCUUAAAAGGGCAACAACCCUUGUCUUCUGUCAGCUGGCAAGGACCCACCACAUCAAGCUGCAGUGAGCAUAUUUGGUCCAGAUUCUUAAACAGACCUCAUCACUGAAAGAAGAGCAGUAGGGGCCUCACCUGAAGACCACUCGGAAACAUAAGCUAGUACAGAAUGAAGCACUUUACACAAGUGCCUCUA